GGCAGUCUGUGAUGCUGGGCACUCUCACAAUGAGGGGAGUCUGAAUGCAAUGGUAGUUAGACUACAGGAGAGGGAUUCCCAGACCAACUGGACAUGUGAAGAUUUCCACACAGACAGGGGAUACAGAGGAGAUAAUGUAAAAGGAGAUGGGUCUGUUGGAAGGGCAGGAAAGAAAGGAAGGUGGCUUUAAAGUGAUUAAAGACUCACUCAGUUCCAUGAACCUUCUGAAGAAAACAAAAAGUUUACUCACGUCAGCCCAGAGUUACAGCUCCAACUUGGUUGACAGCUGAGCAGAUGUCUUGCACAUGAAUGGGGGUCUUCAGAGAUAAAGUUGAAAACUCUGGAGGAGAAGGUGAAGAGAAUGAGCCCAUAAAGAGUAUAAAAACCUGGAGGCAUGACUAGAGGAGGAGCAGUGAUGUAACAGAGGGGCCAACCAGGGGCAUGCCAGCAUCUCCCCCACCUGCUAUCUAAGAACUGUGGUACAUCAGGGCUGCUAUGUAAAUUGGCAUUUCAAACUGUAGAAGACAAAGUGAAGGAGCUUGUUCCCAGCCUGAGUAUUGGUGUCUUCUGAGCUCCACCCUGAGAUAAAUGUUUCAAAGUUUCUGAUGCAGUACUACCCGGCAUGAUGGAAGAGGUGAACCAUCAACAAUUCCGUAGUUUGGUUUUCCUUUUUCCAUAGUCAGGAACUUCUGUUUUGGAGAAGGAGGUUUAUGCCUUUUAACUGCAAACAUAUCUUUCAACUAACUCUGAAAGAUGCCAUGAUUUGUGCAUGGGUAAGAAGCAUUAUUAAUACCCUUGAGUUGUAGCAAUAAAACUACAUACAGGUCCUUUCAA